GCCACCGCUCUGGGACGCGCGCCCGCAGCGGCUGCGUGGCAGCCCGCCAGGGGCUUCAGCUCCUACUCCUUUCUACAAGAGGCAUGGUGAGCAAAUUAGAGGUUAUGAACACCUCCGGUGGAAGGAGGAAAAUUCCUCUGGGCUCUGUAAGGGAACUUCGUCAGCAGCGAAGUGUCUCCAGGGUACAAGACGGAUGUGCUCACCCACGCCCCUUAGCCCUGCUGGGCAAGUAGGGACCGCGCCUUCUGCCGGUCACCAUGAAGGCAGCAGGGCAGGAAAGUGUUUCUUUGGGAGGAAUGUCUCCCGCAGCUCUCUGAUGAACACCAUAAAGCUCCCUUCAGUGGAAGGGGAAGCAUAGACCUCAGUGCAGGGCUGCCAAAUCCUACACUUAGGAGAGAAGGCUGCAAGUCAGGUAUCUGCGCUCCCGACACCGUUCAAGUGUUAUUAGGAAACCAGGAAAGCACACAUCCCUGGCCAGCAGAGCAAAGAGAAGCCACCGAGUUCUCCACACUGCUGGAAACAGAAGCGAGCCGUCUAAGAUUCAGGAAAAGAAAGAAAGCGCGUCCAGAAUGAUGCUUUGAUGCACAUGACAGAGCUUGUCACAACCGGCUGCCAGGAGGUCAGAGCAAGGGAGUAAGUCAGGACAAUACGAGGACGCUGGCUUCCAGAUGUGGAAAUGAUGUGAACGGGUCAGCAAAGAUGGGGACGGGGCAGCCGGAGAGCAAGAGACCUGGGGCCAGACAAAGAGUCUGCUUCCCAAAUGUGAAGUCAGCUUUGCUCCAGGGCCUGUGGUGGUUGCAAGCGGACAUGUAUUUGCAAUGCUGGCUGGCUGGAAAGAACAUGAACUUAGAAACCAGCCUCCACCAAAGAGCCACGCCUCACCCUUCUCAAGGCUCUCCUUGCUUGGUGUCCAGCUGGGGUGAUGAGGUGUUGUGUACUACAGCAUCACCUGCACGGGCGUGGAAUCAGGUGAAACCCUGACCAGAUGCCACGUGGGCCAGCAGAAGAUAUGAAGUGCAGUUUCCAACUUGUUGAAGCCCAGCAAUGGCAACCAGAUUCCACCAACCAACAGGCCAGGUGAGCAGGGCUGGAGACCUCCUUCCUGACUUACCAAGGACUGGUGCCACACCAAACUGCAUCGCCAUGGUUUUCUUUUCCUGUGUGUCCGCAACCUCAUGCUCACGGAGCAUCCCUUAUCUCACACUGAAGAGCCAGCUUUCAUGGGCUUCCAAAAGCACAACUAAGCAAUUUCACAAUCGCUCAGGUGAAUGAACCACACAGGGCUAAAAAUGAUAGGAGGGGAGGGCUCUAGAGCUGGCUGACACAGAAAUAUAUUUUUAUGAGGAGAAGACCUUUGAGAUCCAGAAGGCCACUAUGCAGAAGACAAACCCUCCAAAAAUUCCCUUCUGUAAUUGCUGCCCAUAAAAAACAAGAUUAGCCUGAAUAACAAAAAGGGAAGAGGUAUUUUUAGUAAUAAACAGUAACAGCCAACACAAGUAACAGUGACAUUGUUUAGAAACGUUAAUAGGUCAAGACUCCAGCCCUUCUACUCCCCCAAAAGGCCCACCUAGAGCCCCAUGGGGUGUGCACAGCACACUUUGGAGGUCACAGAUCCGACAGCGUUUACUGCUGCUGGGUUACUGGGGUGACUUAAGCAGGUUAGACUUUACAAAAUUUCAAAAGGCAAAAGGGGAAACAAUAAUAGAACAGUACACAGAAAACUUGUAAGUGGUUUAUUGUGCUUUUUUCCCCCUUAGACAACUGCCGUGAAAGAUGGGCCAUUAGUUUCUAUCUAAUAAUCAAGAUGAAUAAUCUUGGAAUCCUCCAUUCUGUGUAUUAUCUGUAAUAAAUGUUUUGAAUUCCA